UACGAAGGGUGCAAGCGUUACUCGGAAUUACUGGGCGUAAAGCGUGCGUAGGUGGUUUGUUAAGUCUGUUGUGAAAGCCCCGGGCUCAACCUGGGAAUGGCAAUGGAUACUGGCAGGCUAGAGUGCGGUAGAGGGUAGUGGAAUUCCCGGUGUAGCGGUGAAAUGCGUAGAGAUCGGGAGGAACGCCGAAGGUGAAACAGGCUGCUGGGUUGCGCCGACGCUGAGACACGAAAGCCAGGGAGCAAACAGG
rnacentral:rRNA from 1 species